UACGGAGGGUGCAAGCGUUAAUCGGAAUUACUGGGCGUAAAGCGUGCGUAGGCGGUUCGUUAAGUCUGCUGUGAAAGCCCCGGGCUCAACCUGGGAAUGGCAGUGGAUACUGGCGAGCUAGAGUGUGAUAGAGGAUGGUGGAAUUCCCGGUGUAGCGGUGAAAUGCGUAGAGAUCGGGAGGAACAUCAGUGGCGAAGGCGGCCAUCUGGAUCAACACUGACGCUGAGGCACGAAAGCUAGGGGAGCAAACGGG
rnacentral:rRNA from 1 species